rnacentral:rRNA from 1 species
UACGGGGGGUGCGAGCGUUGUCCGGAAUCACUGGGCGUAAAGGGCGCGUAGGUGGUUUGAUAAGGGUGUGGUGAAAGUCCGGGGCUCAACCCCGGAUCUGCCGUGCCGACUGUCAAACUCGAGGGCUGUAGAGGCAGACGGAAUUCCGGGUGUAGCGGUGGAAUGCGUAGAGAUCCGGAGGAAGACCGGUGGCGAAGGCGGUCUGCUGGGCAGUUACUGACGCUGAGGAGCGAAAGCGUGGGGAGCGAACAGG